AAUUUUCUCUAUUCUUUUCAUCUUCCCAGUUAUCAAUUUUCUGCUGCUUUUGUGCCAGGCUUGGAGCAGGACAUCCUCCUGAAGACUGUGAAUCCUCUCAGAGGGCUCCUCUCAAACCAGAGGACAAAGCAGUCAUCAGACUUGAGCAACAGCCCCCUCUUACCCCCACUUAUAGCACUGCAGGUGCUAAGGGAGAGGACUCCACCUUGAUCUCCUGAUCUCUAGCUCAGCUCUCUUUGCCCUCUUGUGUCCAGUUAGUGUCCUUCACUGAAUAGGGUCCAAGAACUAGAAAAGGCUGUCUUCUGGAGGCUCCUUUCAGCUUUCUUCUCCACCCAGAUGUCUCAGAUAAGAAAUUAUAAAGCCUAACUCAGGCAGAAAAUGAAGGAAGAGGGAAGAAGAAAAAGGAAAGAAGAGAUGUGUACAUUAAACAUAAAGUUUAUUUUUCUUUCUACUUCACACAGUGCUGCAAAGAACAAGAACUGCUGUAUCAAAGGUAACUGCAUUCACAGCUUUGCAAUGGUCACACUGCCAUCCAAGGAGGAACCAUCAAGGUCAGCUCUGGCACAGCCCACUGCUAUGACAGUCAUCUUCCGGUUUGAAGAAGCAAAACCACCAGGAGUCCUAGAGCCGUGA
rnacentral:lncRNA from 1 species